rnacentral:rRNA from 1 species
UACGGAGGAGGCAAGCGUUAACCGGAAUUAUUGGGCGUAAAGCGUCCGUAGGUGGUAAUUCAAGUCUGCUGUUAAAGCGUGAGGCUUAACCUCAUAAAGGCAGUGGAAACUGAAUUGCUAGAGAACAGAAGGGGCAACGGGAAUUCCUAGUGUAGCGGUGAAAUGCGUAGAGAUUAGGAAGAACACCAAUGGCGAAAGCACGUUGCUAGGCUGAUUCUGACACUGAGGGACGAAAGCUAGGGGAGCGAACGGG